rnacentral:rRNA from 1 species
GUAAUACAUCGGAACGUACCCAGUAGCGGGGGAUAGCCCGGCGAAAGCCGGAUUAAUACCGCAUACGCCCUACGGGGGAAAGGGGGGGAUCGUAAGACCUCUCACUAUUGGAGCGGCCGAUGGCUGAUUAGCUAGUUGGUGGGGUAAAGGCCUACCAAGGCAACGAUCAGUAGCUGGUCUGAGAGGACGACCAGCCACACUGGGACUGAGACACGGCCCAGACUCCUACGGGAGGCAGCAGUGGGGAAUUUUGGACAAUGGGCGAAAGCCUGAUCCAGCAAUGCCGCGUGUGCGAAGAAGGCCUUCGGGUUGUAAAGCACUUUUGUCAGGGAAGAAAUCGUUCGGGCUAAUACCUCGGGCAGUUGACGGUACCUGAAGAAUAAGCACCGGCUAACUACGCGCCAGCAGCCGCGGUAAUACGUAGGGUGCAAGCGUUAAUCGGAAUUACUGGGCGUAAAGCGUGCGCAGGUGGUUCGUUAAGACAGUUGUGAAAUCCCCGGGCUUAACCUGGGAACUGCAAUUGUGACUGGCGGACUAGAGUUUGGCAGAGGGGGGUGGAAUUCCUGGUGUAGCAGUGAAAUGCGUAGAUAUCAGGAGGAACACCGAUGGCGAAGGCAGCCCCCUGGGCCAUGACUGACACUCAUGCA